rnacentral:tRNA from 1 species
GGAAGGGUAGCCUAACUGGUAAGGCAGUAGUCUUGAACACUACCGCGCACUUGUCGCUUGCAGGUUCAAGUCCUGUCCCUUCCGCCA